GCUUGCUUCCCAUGUCAGUGUUUCUGCACUCAUCCUUCUGCCCUCCUCUGAGUUCAGCAGAUGCCUGAACCAUUGGGACUGCCCAGUCUUGGAUUCUGAACCUCCACACUGUCAGCGGAAAUACACCGUUUCCUUUCUAAGAAGCUCCCCUCAGAUGCUUGCAACUGCUGGGACAAAAGGCCAAAACCUGGAGCCGGGAAGCUAAUCCAAGUUUCCCACGUGGGUGACAGGAUCCCUGUUACCUAAGCCAUCACCACUGCCUUCCAGGGUAGCAAAGAAGCAAGAACGAAAUGGUAGAAGUUGCAAGUGGUGCAAAAUAUAUUUUGCACAUAACCGAGAGUACUGUUCUUAUUCUUCAGACCUCGCUUCUGCGAACAGACUCUUAGACUUGGGAACCUGGCUUCUUUGUGCCCACUUAAGGCUUUACCCUUGACCUGCUUUGACAUUGGUCAGUGGGAGUUUGAAGUAAGUAACUCACAUGCUUAGUUCCAGACAGAGAAGAUAGUCUUACGAGGGAACUGUGGAAUCUGAAUUAUAACAGCAAUUGUUGGAAUCUUUUUCUGUCUCGGUUUUGCCUUUGUAAAUACAAUAUUCACCUUCGCUUUCUCCCAAGGAACAUGAAUAGCCUUGGAUAGGAAUUGGUAAAUGAGCCAUGGAGAAUGGGAUGGAAUCAAAUUGAGUGAAAUAAUUUCAGCUGCUGGGAACCCUUAAUAGGCAUGUAAACAAGAAGCGUUUGUUGUGUGUGAGCACUCUCACAGAGGUGUGUGAACUCUUAGCUCUUCAUGCUGGCCACGUUUGGAAGGGUUCCUGUUUAAGUUGCAACAGUCUCCUGCUGGUUCAUUUUUAUUUGAAACUGUGCUCAGUUCAUUAUUUUAUUAUGUUUAGCUUAGAACAAAAGAAAUAUUUUGAAAUAACAGUCCUUUUAAGUUGGUGGGUUGUAGAGGUUACUUCCUAUAGCUUUUCAAAGUACCCCAGCGAUUUUUGGAUAUGUACCUGAAGGGUUAGAGAGAAUGCAUGAGAAAAUAGUAGGAGAAACACACCUAGAAAGUUUUGUAGUGCCUGUAGCUUUAAAAACAAAACAAACCACAAAAAUAACAGGACUAGGUCUUCUUUGCUUUUCUGAUUGCUGAUAGUGCCAUUGUAAGUGUAUCCAAAAUGUUUUGUUUGCUAGAAGAGUAAAGUGAACAUAGUUUUUGAUCUUUUUCUCCCAACUUCCUCAUCCUAUGGUUGCUUUUUAGGCUCCACAAUCAUUUUUGUCAGAGGCUUUGGAGAGCCCAUGCCAACAAGCAGCUUCCUUCUUUGAGACCUGUGUUGGUUGGUACAAGACUGUUUCAUAAAUGGUUUGCAGAGAAGUAUGCUAGCUGCACAAUGUAAGAGGAACAGUUUUAGAAUAAAGGACACAAAGAAACAUCUGCUAGGUUUGUGAUUAAAAUGAUUCCAAAUACACUUCAACAAUGUAUGCAUAAUUUUAAAUAUGGAAUAAACCCCUACAAAUUCGGAGAAAAUCUCCUUACUUUGCCUAAUUAACUGCACGUGAAAGAAAUAACUUAAGGGAGAAUACUGAUUUUCAUGUCCUAUCAGUUGUUAUGUUUCAUAAUAAGCUAGUUUCAUAACAAACUAAUACACUGUUUGCAGUGAUUUGUAACAGAGUGGAAUUUAGUUACAAUUUUGCUGUGCUCUAACCACAGAUUUAACUAUUGCACACAUCUGAUAAAAUUAAGUUUAAUGCUCACUUCAUUUUUUUAUAUUCCUGCUCUACCUUUACUGAACUAGUUACUAAGAAAGAUAAAAUAAUACUAAAUAUUUUAAAUUAAUGAAACCAAAUUGUAAAUCUAAAUAGUAGAAAUCAAAUAAUAAUAUAAUAAGAUGACGGUAUCUUGAUUGCGGACUACUGAAUUUGAUUGUAGACAUCAUCAUCCAAGCAGAUUUCAUGACCAACAGAAUUGUUCUUCACAUCAGCAAAAGUAGCCUGGGAACCAUAAAAUACUUUCGGAAAGGGGAUUGUAAUUUGACAGCAUAGCUUUGAGACUGCUUUGGGUGUAAUCUGUGUUCUUCUCUACAUGUCAAACAGCCCCAGUGAAUGUUACAAUAAUGAAUAUAUAUAUAUAUAUAUGUAUAUAUAUAUAAAGCAACUUCUCAUCUAAAGCUUCUAGGUGAGGAAAAAAAUCUCCUACAUAGAAUUUAGUGAUUUAUUUCUGGCCAGAAAAGGCCUUAUGUUCUUUUUGAAAAUCCCUGGAAAUCGAUUUCUCUUAACUAUCUGUAAUACAAACAUGAAGUACAAAGUCCCUUGUGCUUCAGAUAAUUGAUUGGAAGUUCAAGAUGUAUCAAUGGGAUAGUCUUUCCUAAAAAGAUGGAUUAGAACAGUUAACAUCAGUGACUGUUGAAGACCUUCCCCCAUUUUCUCCGCUUAAACAGCAGGGCUGGACAAGCGACAACCUGAGGGACAAGUCAGUUUUGCUGCCUGUUUCUGUAACAAGUGUUAUUGGAACACAGCCACCUGUGUUCAUUUAUGCAUUUACCAAGAUUGCUGUCAUGAUAUAACCAUAGCAGAAUGAAGGAGCUUCACUAAAACUGUUUGGCCAAAACAGACUGUAGGGCUUACUACACCAUCUGACCAUUUAGGAAAAAAGAAAAAAAAAUUCCCAGCUCCUAUUUUAGAAAAGCUAUCUCACACUUGCAUUUCUGUUUACAUACUUAAACACCAUAUAUGCCUGGCUCAUACUUUUUGACUUCUUUAUUGCCUAAACAAAAAAAGAACUCUUAAUAAAAACACAGUGAAUAGCUGUCUGAGUUUACUCAUUGCCUACUAUGUUCCAGGUCAUGUAUUAAAAUGUCCUCUCUUUUUUUAACUUUGUGGCAAUUUGCUGUGCAUCAAUAUUCCAAUUCUGUUGAUCAUUACUUCAGUGAACUAAGAGAAUGAUUUUUCCAAUAUGUCACAAGCUAGUAUUCUAUGCUUUGAAUACUUUCUACCAGGUCUAUCUUACCAUAAACUUAAAGAUAUUUUCUUGUUUUCUAGUUCCAUUUGUGGAACUAUAUUUCUAAGAGACUACUCUUAUUUUCUCUAAUUAAACAGGAUAAUUGAAAUUAUAAUGUUAAUUAUAUCAAGGAGAAGGAAACUUUGGAUGUAUUUCAAUUUAUUAUUAACUAAGGAUUUAAAUAUUGUUUAAAAAUGUUGCAAUUGUUCUGCCUAUUAUGCUGCCUAAUAUUCUGCUAUAUGACUAUUCCUUGGAGCCAGUGGAGAAUAGGAGCAUCAUUUUAAACUGAGACAUGCUAUGAACAAAGCAAACGAAACUGCUUAUCAUUUUGAAUAUUAAAAAGUACCUUUCUCUGAAGGGAGGAGAGAACUUCCACUUUGACCAUGGCCUUGUCUAAAUAUGAUCAGAGUCAGUGAACUCAGGGGGCUUCCAUAGCCUUGGCAGCUCAUGACAAGAGCCUCGGGUGAUUACUGAGGCCAUAAACAAGAGUGUCAAUUUGUUAAGUCAACAACAGGAGUCACUGUGCACUUACUCCUCAUGUAGGAUCUUUGUCCUUAGUGUGCUGUACAUUGAGAUUUAAUGCUAUAAGUAGUACUCAAACAGUAUUUUUCAUUUUAUGUUUCUGUGUGGGAGCAAACUGUUGAAAUCUUUACUCAAUGUAUUCUAAACUGAUCUUCUGUAUAUAAAGAGAAUGGAAAAUGAAUCUUGAUGUGAAUGGAAGGGGAGAGGGAGUGGGAAAGGGGAG